AUCACUUGUUACUGUCUAUGAUUGUGAAUACCAUCAGUAGUUAUUAUCUAAAGCUUUGCAUACCGUCAUUAUUUACUGUCUAAAGUUGUGUAUACUUCACUAGUUACUGUCUAAGAUUGUGAAUACCGUCAUUAGUUACUGUUUAAGGUUGUGAAUACGUCACUUGUUACUGUCUAAAGUUGUGAAUACGUCAUUAGUUACUGUCUAAAGUUAUGAAUAAACCAGUAGUUACUGUCUAAAGUUGUGAAUACUGUACUUGUUGCUGUAUAAAGCUAUAUAUACGUCAUUAGUUACUGCCUAAGUUUGUGAAUACAUCUGUAGUUAGUGUCUAAAGUUGUGAAUACCUUACUUGUUACUGUAUAAAGCUAUAUAUACGUCAUAAGUUACUGUCUAAGUUUGUGAAUACAUCUAUAGUUGGUGUCUAAAGUUGUAAAUACGUCACUAGUUACUGUCUAAAGUUGUAAAUACGUCACUAGUUACUGUCUAAAGUUGUGAAUACGUCACUAGUUACUGUCUAAGGUUGUGAAUACGUCACUUGUUACUGUCUAAGGUUGUGAAUACGUCACUAGUUAUUGUCUAAGGUUGUGAAUACGUCACUAGUUACUGUCCAAGGUUGUUAAUACAUUACUAGUUACUGUAUAUGGUUGUGAAUACAUCUCUAGUUACUGUCUGUUGUUGUGAAUAAAUCACUAGUUAUGUCUAAGGUUGUGAAUACAUCAUUAGUUAUGUCUAAGGUUGUGAAUACGUCACUUGUUACUGUCUAAGGUUGUGAAUACCGUCCUUAGUUACUGUCUAAAAUUGUGUCUACCUCACUAGUUACUGUCUAAGGUUGUGAAUACCGUCAUUAGUUACUGUUUAAGGUUGUGAAUACGUCACUUGUUACUGUCUAAAGUUGUGAAUACCUCACUAGUUACUGUCUAAAGUUGUGAAUGCGUCAUUAGUUACUGUCUAAAGUUAGGAAUGAACCAGUAGUUACUGUCUAAAGCUAGGAAUGAACCAGCAGUUACUGUCUAAAGUUGCGAAUACCUUACUUGUUACUGUAUAAAGCUAUAUAUACCUGACUAGUUACUGUCUUAGUUUGUGAAUACAUUUAUAGUUAGUGUCUAAAGUUGUGAAUACGUCACUAGUUACUGUCUAAAGUUGUGAAUACGUCACUAGUUACUGUCUAAGGUUGUGAAUACGUCACUUGUUACUGUCUAAGGUUGUGAAUACCGUUAUUAUUUACUGUCUGAAGUUGUGUAUACCUUACUAGUUACUGUCUAAGGUUGUGAAUACCGUCAUUAGUUACAGUCUGAAGUUGUGUAUACCGUCAUUCGUUACUGUCUGAGUUUGUGAAUACCAUCAGUAGUUAUUAUCUAAAGUUUUUCAUACCGUCAUUAGUUCCUGUCUAAAGUUAUGUAUACCUCACUUGUUACUGCCUAAGGUUGUAAAUAUCUCACUAGUUACUGUCUAAGGUUGUAAGUACCUCACUUGUUACUGUCUAAAGUUGUGAAUACGUCACUAGUUAUUGUCUAAGGUUGUGAAUACGUCACUAGUUACUGUCUAUGGUUGUGAAUACAUCACUUGUUACUGUCUAAAGUUGUAAAUACGUCACUAGUUACUGUCUAAGGUUGUGAAUACGUCACUAGUUAUUGUCUAAGGUUGUGAAUACAUCUCUAGUUACUGUCUGUUGUUGUGAAUACAUCACUAGUUACUGUCUAUGGUUGUGAAUACAUCACUUGUUACUGUUUAAAGUUGUAAAUACGUCACUAGUUACUGUCUAAGGUUGUGAAUACGUCACUAGUUAUUGUCUAAGGUUGUGAAUACAUCUCUAGUUACUGUCUGUUGUUGUGAAUACAUCACUAGUUAUGUCUAAGGUUGUGGAUAAAUAAUUAGUUAUGUCUAAGGUUGUGAAUACCGUCAUUAGUUACUGUUUAAGGUUGUGAAUACGUCACUUGUUACUGUCUAAAGUUGUGAAUAUCUCACUAGUUUCUGUCUAAAGUUGUGAAUACGUCAUUAGUUACUGUCUAAAGUUAGGAAUGAACCAGUAGUUACUGUCUAAAGUUGUGAAUACCUUACUUGUUACUGUAUAAAGCUAUAUAUACCUGCAUAGUUACUGACCAAGUUUGUGAAUACAUCUAUAGUUACGGUAUAAAGCUACAUAUACCUCACUAGUUACUGUCUAAGUUUGUGAAUACAUCUAUAGUUAGUGUCUAAAGUUGUGAAUACCUCACUUGUUACUGUCUAAGGUUGUGA